GUUACCACAUGGGUGAGUUUAAGCAGGAGAGGAGAGGAAAGUAGAUGAAUUCAGGUAAAUUUGGAGAUAUGACAAUAGGUCAUAGUGAUAGGCUGGAUGUGGGAUAUGAGGGAAAAAGAGCAAUCAAGGGUGAUGCCUAAGGUUCGGGGCUCUAGCAGCCAGAUAUAUAACAGUGUUAUUUACUGAGAUGGGGGUACCAAGAGGUGAGGAAGAAAGGAAGAAAGUAAGGCUGGGAUUAAGAGUUAUGAUUUGGAUACAUUAAAUUUGAGAUGCCUCUCAGAUUCAAGUCUGGAAGUCAGGGCUACAGAUGUUAAGUUAGCAACCAGAAGGUAUUUAAAGCAAUGGGACCCAAUGAGAUUACUCAGAAAGAGUACAGAGAAACCCAAGGAUGAAGCAUUGGAGGCUUUCCAACAGCUAGAGGUCAGCUGUUGGAAACCAGCAAGAUGCAGAAGAAAUGAGAACAUGUGGGUGCACAUGAGCCAAUAAAAGAAAAUGCUCCAAGAAACAAAAAGUGACCUAUUGCAUCAAAUGCUGCUGAAAGUCAAGUAACAUAAGAGAGAAUUAACCACCCCAUAUGGCAAGAUGGUGAUUGGUGGGGACCCUUAAAAAGGUAAUUUCAGUUGGCUGGUGGGGAGGACAGCCAAGUGAAUGGGUUGCUUAAAUAAUGGAGGAUGAGGAUGUACAAAUGAGAUAUACAGAGAGUUCCUUUUAGAAGCUCUGCUGUGAACAAGAGCAGAGAAAUGAAGUAGGUAGGAUAGUAGUCAAGGAAGGUUUUUGUUGUUGCUGUUAACUUUUUAUUUUCAAAGAUAUAGAAAAGUAGAGAAAACAGUAUCAUGAAGCCCCAUGUCACUUGCUUUGACAAUUAUCUGCCCCUCAUCCCACUUCUUCCACCUAUUCCCCAACUCAUUCCCAACUCUUUACCCACAGGAUUAUUUUGAAGCAAAUCCCAGACAUCAUUGUAAGGAACAAUUGUUUUUAAGUGAGAAGUACUAUUUGUUAUGAAAAAAGGAAAACAGAAAACCCUGUUAUACAGUGCUCUCACUGAGAAAAUUCCAGCUCCAUCACUUUAGCAGACUGUCUUUAAUAAAAUGUAUGAACUGUAUUCUUCCUUUAAAGCAGGAUUCUCAAACUAUCGCCCACAGCCCACUGAAUGGACCACGAGGGGUUUCCACCUGAACAGCAAACCAAUCCAGCAAAGCACAGGUCCUUCCAUUUUUAUAAAGGAUAGAGGAAGUCCAAGUUCACCUUUUGUUUUCUAGCUUUAUAUUUGUGCAUAAUAUAGCUUAAGUAAUAUAGCUUAUUAAGUAAGUUAUUUAGGAUUACUAAAAGUAGUACAUUUCUAGAGUUUCUAGAUAAGAAGUCUGAUUGCCACACAAUGCCUGGCACUGAUGUGGAACGCAUAUGCUGAUGGUUGCAAUUUCUGUAAACUGGGGGAAGGAUGCAUAAUCCCCCGUGCACGUCUUGAGUUGCUUAUGGUUUGCAAUUCUAUUUUUGUUUUUUCACUAUAAAUUAUUAAGCUUCAUUAGCAAUUUAUGGUGGGUUAUCUGGCUAAACUCUGAGUAUAUAAUGAUACAUAUGUGACUAUUAAGAAAUUUGCAACUUGUUCAAUCUUCAGUUAUCUGUGAUCCUAGAUACAAAGAUUUGAGACAGAAAAAAAUUAAAUCCAGAAAAUUCUAUAUAUUGUUAACAUUUUCUGUGGAUUCAGGGGAAACUUUAAUUUUAUGGAAAACCUCAAUCCAGUUAAGACAGUAUAGCAGUUAAGAGCCUAAAUGGGAUCUAGAGAGUGCAGGUUCAAAUCAAGGCUUUGCUACUUAGUAGCUACAUGACCUUGGGAGGUUAUCUAACUUUUCUGUCUCUCAGUUUCCUCGUCUGUAAUUGGGGAUUAUAAUAGCAUCUACUUCAUAUAUUUAAAUGAGUGUCCAUAACUGAAACAGUACCUGGCAUAUAUUAACUUCUAUAUUUUUCCAUAGAAAAUAUUACUGCUAUAUCCACUACAACAAUUCCUACAACUAUUACAGUUUAUGACACCAGGGUUCUGAGAGAGGACAACCUGAAAAUCAUGAAUAUGACUGAAAUCUUCCUAAGUGGUAGAUCUAAAUACCAUAAAUGGUGGCUAGCUUUAUAGGAAAACCCAUUUAACCCGUAAUAUAACCAAACUAUUCACUAAGAGCACUAGCUUGAAUUUUGGAUCUUGGAACUAUUUGGUGCAGAAAGCAGCAAGAUAGGUAUCCUUCUCUGAAUACAGGCCAGCCAUAGAAAAUGUUCUAUAAUAGAUGAAAGAGGGUCUCCAGCAUCUUCUUUCCUCCUUUCUGUAAGCCUCUUCUACCUUCUAACUCCUUGCUUUCUAAGCCCCAGGUAUCUGAUAACUUGAUUUUGUCCUGAGUCCUCCCCUGUAAUACUUAGCAGGCCAGUUCUCCCCUAAGACAUUCUAUUUUUCAAAAAUGAGUUAUUCUCUAGGAUGUUCCACUUCCAGCUAUUGUGAAGAGAAAAAUGCUUUUAUAAAAUGUAUGGUUACUUAUAUAUGGCUAAUAACAUCUUAAGAUUCUCAGAAGUAUUCCUAUUCUUAAAGUUCUUAUCAGAAUCUCUAGUUAUUGGAAAUUAAGGCAGAUCAACAAAAAGUUAAGUGAAAAAAUUCAACCAGUCUGGGCCACCAUACAGCCUUGUCUGGAAGCCAGCCUGGAGACU
rnacentral:lncRNA from 10 species